rnacentral:rRNA from 1 species
GACGAACGCUGGCGGCGUGCCUAAUACAUGCCAGUAGAACGCACAGUUUAUACCGUAGCUUGCUACACCAUACACUGUGAGUUGCGAACGGGUGAGUAACGCGUAGGUAACCUGCCUGGUAGCGGGGGAUAACUAUUGGAAACGAUAGCUAAUACCGCAUAAUAUUAAUUAUUGCAUGAUAAUUGAUUGAAAGAUGCAAUUGCAUCACUACCAGAUGGACCUGCGUUGUAUUAGCUAGUAGGUGAGGUAACGGCUCACCUAGGCGACGAUACAUAGCCGACCUGGGAGGGUGAUCGGCCACACUGGGACUGAGACACGGCCCAGACUCCUACGGGAGGCAGCAGUAGGGAAUCUUCGGCAAUGGACGAAAGUCUGACCGAGCAACGCCGCGUGAGUGAAGAAGGGUUUCGGAUCGUAAAGCUCUGUUGUAAGAGAAGAACGGGUGUGAGAGUGGAAAGUUCACACUGUGACGGUAUCUUAACAGAAAGGGACGGCUAACUACGUG